UACAGAGGGUGCAAGCGUUAAUCGGAAUUACUGGGCGUAAAGCGUGCGUAGACGGUUACAUAAGUCGGGUGUGAAAGCCCCGGGCUCAACCUGGGAAUUGCAUUCGAGACUGCGUAGCUAGGGUGCGGAAGAGGGAAGCGGAAUUUCCGGUGUAGCGGUGAAAUGCGUAGAUAUCAGGAGGAAUACCGAUGGCGAAGGCAGGUCUCUGGGCUGACACUGACGCUCAUGCACGAAAGCGUGGGGAGCAAACAGG
rnacentral:rRNA from 1 species